GUUUAAAUGUGGAUUGAGGGAUGAAAAGAGGUCUUGAUGAAUGGAGGGGAAUCAAGUCUCCAGCUCUGGGGAGGUCUACGCACUCAGGAGCCAUUAAUCCAGCACAGAUCCCCCCCCCCCCCCCCUCCCCUCUUCUUUAUGUUUAAUUUCCUCCUCAUAUCUUAAGGAAAAGAAAAUAAUGUUUUAAGUUUUCCGUUUGUUUGUUCCCAUAAUCAAUAUUCUCUUAUCAUCUGUUCAAUCACUAACUUUAGAAUAUGGCUUCUGUAUUUUAAUGCCUGUCUAAAUUCUCUAUCUUGUUCCCACUAGAAAUCACUUUCCAGUUGAGUAUAAGUUUGGUGUUCACCUUCUUUGCCGUGGGAUCUUAUGUUGACUUUAAAUGGACCACAAGAGGAGAGGAUUACUUCCAGACGUUGAAAAAGAGGCGUGGAGGCGGGUUGUGUUGCAGACACACUCACGGCAAAGCAGCCAAACAGAUCACGGCUCGGGAAAAGGAACUGGAAGUUGGAGACAACAUGCUGUGCACUGAGUGGGUCCUGUGGAGGUG
ensembl:lncRNA